rnacentral:rRNA from 1 species
UACGGAGGGUGCGAGCGUUAUCCGGAUUUACUGGGUUUAAAGGGUGUGUAGGCGGGCUAUUAAGUCAGCGGUGAAAUCUUCGGGCUCAACCCGGAAACUGCCAUUGAUACUAUUAGUCUUGAAUAUUGUGGAGGUAUGCGGAAUGUGUCAUGUAGCGGUGAAAUGCUUAGAGAUGACACAGAACACCGAUUGCGAAGGCAGCGUACUACACAAUCAUUGACGCUGAGGCACGAAAAGCGUGGGGAUCAAACAGG